rnacentral:rRNA from 1 species
GACGUAGGGGGCCAGCGUUGCUCGGAAUUACUGGGUGUCAAGGGUUCGUAGGCGGUGUGGCAAGUCGGGAGUGAAAUCCCUGGGCUUAACCCAGGGGCUGCUUUCAAAACUGCCGCGCUCGAGUGCGAGAGAGGUCAGUGGAAUUGCAGGUGUAGCGGUGAAAUGCGUAGAUAUCUGCAGGAACACCCGUGGCGAAGGCGGCUGACUGGAUCGCAACUGACGCUGAGGAACGAAAGCUAGGGGAGCAAACAGG